CCGUGCGCGGCCGCUGCGCACUCGGCACUGGGCGGCGCUGGCUGGCUCCCUGGCUGCGGCUCCUCAGUCGGCGGCGGCUGCUGCUGCCUGUGGCCCGGGCGGCUGGGAGAAGCGGAGUGUUGGUGAGUGACGCGGCGGAGGUGUAGUUUGACGCGGUGUGUUACGUGGGGGAGAGAAUAAAACUCCAGCGAGAUCCGGGCCGUGAACGAAAGCAGUGACGGAGGAGCUUGUACCACCGGUAACUAAAUGACCAUGGAAUCUGGAGCCGAGAACCAGCAGAGUGGAGAUGCAGCUGUAACAGAAGCUGAAAACCAACAAAUGACAGUUCAAGCCCAGCCACAGAUUGCCACAUUAGCCCAGGUAUCUAUGCCAGCAGCUCAUGCAACAUCAUCUGCUCCAACUGUAACUCUAGUACAGCUGCCCAAUGGGCAGACAGUUCAAGUCCAUGGAGUCAUUCAGGCGGCCCAGCCAUCAGUUAUUCAGUCUCCACAAGUCCAAACAGUUCAGAUUUCAACUAUUGCAGAAAGUGAAGAUUCACAGGAGUCAGUGGAUAGUGUAACUGAUUCCCAAAAGCGAAGGGAAAUUCUUUCAAGGAGGCCUUCUUACAGGAAAAUUUUGAAUGACUUAUCUUCUGAUGCACCAGGAGUGCCAAGGAUUGAAGAAGAGAAGUCUGAAGAGGAGACCUCAGCACCUGCCAUCACCACUGUAACGGUGCCAACUCCAAUUUACCAAACUAGCAGUGGACAGUAUAUUGCCAUUACCCAGGGAGGAGCAAUACAACUGGCUAACAAUGGUACCGAUGGGGUACAGGGCCUGCAAACAUUAACCAUGACCAAUGCAGCCGCCACUCAGCCGGGUACUACCAUUCUACAGUAUGCACAGACCACUGAUGGACAGCAGAUCUUAGUGCCCAGCAACCAAGUUGUUGUUCAAGGUACUCAAAAAUUGUAAAGCAGGAUGUCAGUGAAUUUGAAUUCUGAACGUCAGUUUGAAGAUGGUAACAUGUUUAGUAUAUAAAUCUUUUCCACUCAAAGCAUACAUUUUAAUUGAUAUUAAUAAUUAAUAUUAAUAAUUUAAUAAAGACCUUCAAAUUUUUUUAAGUAACAUUAGGUUCCUUAGGAGAGCAUAUUAUUACACUGUUUUUAGAAGCAGUUUGACAAAUAGUGAUUGUGUUUAUUUUUACAAAUGGUGAAUCAGAAAAAUAAAACUUUAGUUUAUUAAGUCAUUAUCAUUUACAUUAAAACAAUAUGUUUUCAAAUAAUAUAAUUGGCAUCAGGUGAUACACUUUUUCAUACUUUCAGUUUUGUUUUAAUUCAAAAUCUAUAAUAGUUGACCAUAAUGCUUUAUCUUCUUUUUCAUUUUGCUAUUUUAUGAAAAAUCAUGGUCGUUUUUAUGUCGUGGCAAGAGUCUACUUGAAAUUUUUUAAUAUGAAUUUACCAAUAUCAAAGGAAGACAUUGAGGACUAUACUCUAUCUAGGAAGAUCAUCCAAGCUGUGCCCCACUUACCUUUUAGACUUAAGCUGCCUCUGGAGAUGUACAAACAUACCAGAUUCGCACAGCACCCACUAGCACUAUUGCCCCUGGAGUUGUUAUGGCAUCCUCCCCAGCACUUCCUACACAGCCUGCUGAAGAAGCAGCACGAAAGAGAGAGGUUCGUCUAAUGAAGAACAGGGAAGCAGCUCGAGAGUGUCGUAGAAAGAAGAAAGAAUAUGUGAAAUGUUUAGAAAACAGAGUGGCAGUGCUUGAAAAUCAAAACAAGACAUUGAUUGAGGAGCUAAAAGCACUUAAGGACCUUUACUGCCACAAAUCAGAUUAAUUUGGGAUUUAAAUUUUCACCUGUUAAGGUGGAAAAUGGACUGGCUUGGCCACAACCUGAAAGACAAAAUAAACAUUUUAUUUUCUAAACAUUUCUUUUUUUCUAUGCGCAAAACUGCCUGAAAGCAACUACAGAAUUUCAUUCAUUUGUGCUUUUGCAUUAAACUGUGAAUGUUCCAACACCUGCCUCCACUUCUCCCCUCAAGAAAUUUUCAACGCCAGGAAUCAUGAAGAGACUUCUGCUUUUCAACCCCCACCCUCCUCAAGAAGUAAUAAUUUGUUUACUUGUAAAUUGAUGGGAGAAAUGAGGAAAAGAAAAUCUUUUUUUAAAAUGAUUUCAAGGUUUGUGCUGAGCUCCUUGAUUGCCUUAGGGACAGAAUUACCCCAGCCUCUUGAGCUGAAGUAAUGUGUGGGCCGCAUGCAUAAAGUAAGUAAGGUGCAAUGAAGAAGUGUUGAUUGCCAAAUUGACAUGUUUUCACAUUCUCAUUGUGAAUUAUGUAAAAUUGUUAAGAGACAUACCCUCUGAAAAGAACUUUAGUAUGGUAUUGAAGGAAUUAGAAAUGAAUUUGGAGUGCUUUCUAUGUAUGUUCUCUUCAAUACUGAAAAUUUGUCCUUGGUUCUUAAAAGCAUUCUGUACUAAUACAGCUCUUCCAUAGGGCAGUUGUUGCUUCUUAAUUCAGUUCUGUAUGUGUUCAACAUUUUUGAAUACAUUAAAAGAAGUAACCAACUGAAUGAAAAAGCAUGGUAUUUGAAUUUUAAAUCAAAGUAAAUAAAAGUACAAAGCAUAUUUUAGUUAGUACUAAAUUCUUAGUAAAAUGCUGAUCAGUAAACCAAUCCCUUGAGUUAUAUAACACGAUUUUUAAAUAAAUGUUAUUGUCCUCACCUUCAAAAAAUUUAUAUUGUCACUCAUUUACAUAAAAAGAUAUUUCUAAUUUACUGUUGCCCAUUGCACUUACAUGAUACCACCACCAAGAAAGCCUUCAAGAUGUCAAAUAAAGCAGUGAUAUAUAUUUGUUUAUGCAAUGUUACAUGUUGUAGAAAAAUACUGAUUUUAAAUCUUUUCCAUAUUAACAAUUUAACAGAGAAUCUCUACUGAAUUUUUUAAAUGAAAGAAGUUGUAAGGAUAUAAAAAGUACAGUGUUAGAUGUGCACAAGGAAAGUUAUUUUCAGACAUAUUUGAAUGACUGCUGUACUGCAAUAUUUGGAUUGUCAUUCUUACAAAACAUUUUUUUGUUCUCUUGUAAAAAGAGUAGUUAUUAGUUCUGCUUUAGCUUUCCAAUAUGCUGUAUAGCCUUUGUCAUUUUAUAAUUUUAAUUCCUGAUUAAAAGUCUGUAUUUGUGUAUAUCAUACAUUGUUUUCAAUACCACUUUUAAUUAUUACUCAUUUUAUUCACUAAGCUCGAUAAAUCUAACAGUUACUCUUUAAAAAAAAAAAAAAGACUAAGGUGGAUUUUAAAAAUUGGAAACUGACAUAAUAUUAGAUUAUAAUUUCUCAUUUGGGGCCGGGCGCAGUGGCUCACGCCUGUAAUCCCAGCACUUUGGGAGGCCGAGGUGGGUGGAUCACCUGAGGUUAGGAGUUCAAGACCAGCCCAGCCAACAUGGUGAAACCCCAUCUCUACUAAAAACAGAAAAAUUAGCCGGGCCUGAUGGCGGUCACCUGUAAUCCCAGCUACUCGGGAGGUUGAGGCAGCAGAGUCGCUUGAACCUGGGAGGCAGAGGUUGCAGUGAGCCGAGAUAGCACCAUUGCACUCCAGCCUGGGCGACAAGAGUGAGACUCUGUCUCAAAAAAUAAAAAUAAAAAAAUUUCUCAUUUGGGAAGGAAAUUCCUUUUAAAAAAGAGUUGAGACACUUAGAAAACUAAGGUUUUUUAUUUAGUCAAGAGUUAUUUAAGAAAGUCAAGCUUGUUUAACAACAAAAUAUGAAGAUUUAAGUGUUAAUUGCUGGAUCCAUUUUAAAAAGUAAGAUUUUAAUUACAUUUGUAAAUGGUAUAUUUUUGUUUGUAACAAACCAUUGUCUUUUUUCAAGGAUGAACAGAGUUUAUGAAGGAGCAUCAUUCUAAGAAUUGAGUGAUGUAGUCUUUAUGUUUGGACAGUUCACCAGAUUCUCAAGAAGGCUUUCAAACAACUAUAAAGUUUGAUGUUUGUCCUGCUGAGCUAAUGGGGAAAGUUAUAGCAUAAAAAUUGUGUAACAGCAUAGAUAUGUCAUUUUUAAAAACUGGUUUAACAGAAAUCAAGCAAAGUCACAAUAUGUUCACAAGUUGGAUUUAUUGAGUCAGAAUGUCGAAUUGAACAUUUUGAAUGUCAUAAGUGUUAUAAAUGAAAAAUUGCCUGAUGUUUAGCAGUUUGUAUUCUCUAAAGCUUUUUUUCAAAAGUUGAGGCUUUCUACUUAGUGGGAAGUUGGUGGCCCUCUUAGUCCCUGAUAAAUCAAGGCAAUCAUAUUCAUGUGAGCUGGAUGAAUUUAUAAGUUAUAAAGACCUUGUCCUUCAUACCUUGAGGAUGAUUGCACUGGUUUUGAAGUCAAUUACUUAAUGGUGAGGUGAGAAAUGUAUCCUGUUGCUAAAUCUGUUUUAGACCUUUGGUGAGACUUGAAGAUUUCGGUUUAUAAAGAUAAAAAUCAAGCAUCUUUUGUGCAGGUUUUUUCUUUUUUUAAUGCAAGAAUGGUGGGGAGGUUUGUUUGUAAGCAUGAAACUUUGAGAAUCUUUAUUAAGAAAAUGACAUAAUUUUUAAAAACCUUGUAGCCAAGAACAUAUGUGGCCACAUUAUCAGUAAUGUUUUUCUCUUUAUAUUGGCCAAAAGGGAAUAAAAAUGUCAUCAUAGGAAUUUGUAUAUAUGCUACUGAUUUGCCUAGAAAAUAGCAAGUUUCAUAUUGCUCACUUUGCAAAUAUAGGGCCAUGUGGCACUUUUAUCUAUAGGACAGAUUAACUCUAAUAAAAAUGAAGUGGGGAGGGGUUUAUUUUUGAUAUAUUACUCUUAUGAGUUUUCAAGCUUUGAUAGUGUUUAACUGAAAAGUGGCUUAGAAAGGGCUAGAUCCAGUGUGUUCAUUAUUAAAUAAUUGCUAUCAUACAAUUUUAAGUUCAUUAUUUUUCAAACUCAAGUACCAUAUUGGCAACCAUAAUAUUGUCAUAGGUGCUCUUUUCAUUUAGAUAUUAUUGGGGGGGGUGGCAUUUGUAUAAUAUAUGUGUACAUAUAUAUAUAUAUAUACAUACAGUAUAUAAUCUAAAGCUCUGAGAGCUCUUAAGUCAGGAAUGCUGAGUAUUAUAGUAUAUUGAGGUCAGAUGAAAUUUUACAUUUUUAUGUGUUCUGUUGCAUCCCUUCUGGUAGUUUCUAUGACUGCAUUACUCCAGCACUCAACAACUGAUUUUAUCUUCUAAUUUUCUUUAAAGUAUUUUAUUUUUUAUUAGUUUUCUUUGGCUUGAUACUUUUAAAUAUGUUACUAGUCACUUGAAAGCAUCUCCCCCAAAAGUAUUUGGUUUUUAUGAUUUGUCUGUGGCAGCUAUAACAGUGGUAAGAACAUUUUGAAGAUAGCUUUUUAAAGGAACCACUGAUUUUUUCAAAAAUCAUCCUGGGGGAGGAAUUUUGGCAUUUCAUUUGAGCAGGGAUUUUGUCAGAAAAUGUGUUUUGACGGUAGGUCAGCAGCAGUGCUAGUCUCUGAAAGCACAAUACCAGUCAGGCAGCCUAUUCCAUCAGAUGUCAUCUGGCUGAAGUUUGUCUCUCAGGACAAAUCCCUAUCAUUUUGACCUUUUGGAGUGACAUGUGGAAUCAUACAAAGGCUUAGGAGGAAAUAUGUUUGUUUAAACCAGGAUGCUUUUACUUACUUGAAGUGACUUCAAUCUAGAUUUCUUUUCAUAUUUAAUGUUUUUAAUUCUAUGAUCAGCUAUAGUCAGCUGUUACCAGAAAUUGGUCUCUGUUUAUUUUGAAGAUCACGGUUGCUUCAUUUUGCAGGAUUAAAUAGGGCUAAUAUAUCUUAAAGUUAAGAUCUUGAAUUAAAGUGGGUUUUAGAAUAGUGUUACAUACCUUUUCAGUAAUUUUCAAGAGGCUUUAUUUUUGUUGCCUUUGUAGCCCUGAAAGCUAUUGGUAUAUUUUUUCCCCCAUGGACCUAAUAGAAAAGUUGUAUAUUUAUUUGGAAUAUAUUUACAUUCUGUCCUUUGUAAAUGUUUGGUGUAACUUGCACUUUUUAAAAUGACCCAGUUUGGGUAUUAGCAACUUAAGAAAUUCCCUCAUGAAGUAAUUCUCAACUUUUUAGUCUUUCUCCUCUCUUCAAAUCAUGUGACUUUUUAAAUGGAAGUUUUUCAUUAAUUAAAAUAUUUUAGCACCUAAAAGCUAGCCUUAAAAACAGCUGAAAAGAAGAACAUCAGGAAAUUAGAUAUGACUAGCCCAGUUAAUUAAAAGACGGGCUCAAACCUUGUUUUAUUCUUUUUCAUCUUGGAUAAAGAUUGAAGGGAAAAUAACUCAAGUGAAUAAUAUUUAUUUUCAAUUUUUAAUGAGACUUUAUCCUCAUCACAUUAAUACUGCACAUAGUAUGCCAAAAUGUUCACUAAUUUGUCUAGAAUAGUACAAGACUUUUUAGAGCAAUUGUCUUCACAGAGACCACAUGUAAUCAUUUUACUGAAUUAUUUUCAUUUUUAAUGGCUUUGUUAACAUCAAAGAAAUGCUGCCUAAAUUUGACUGAUUACAGAUGAGGAAGGAGAAAGUAAAGUGUGCAUAGUAAGCCUGCAGGUGAAGAGUUGUGAGAUAAAUUUGUUCACUCAGUUGUACAAAGCACAACUAGAACUUUUCGUUGGGUGGCUUACAUACAUCUUGAAUAUUCUAAUGUAAUAAUGUUGACUAUUAAGUUGACUACACAGUCACUGUAUGUACUAGGAACUGGUUUCCUUGACAUUGUAGAAUCAAUGGCUAGGAGAGGCAUUAAUCUUUGAGGGGCUGAACAUAUCAUGAAGCUGAGUCAGUAUGGAAAAUUUUCAAAUAAACAGGGUGCUGAAGUUCCAUCUGUCUCAUCUGCUUAUGAUAAGUUCUUAUUGAUUAGUGAAUGUAACUUAAGCCUUUGUAUGUGUCCUCAGGGGGCAGACCGACUUUAAGAGGGACCAGAUAACGUUUGAAUGGAGGGAUUAUAUUUCAGGUGUUUUAGCUUGAAAUUUAUUUUUUAGAAAAAGAAAAAUUUUAAAAAUAUAUAAAUAAAAUAGAACAAAGCCGGUGAUGCAAGUUGAUAUUAUAAACAGGCAGUUUUAGCACAGAAAGAAAAUACUGACCUGUCUGCAUUCUGGUACGGUGGGUGCAGGUCCCAGCUGGGUAUGACAUGAUACAUUUUUAAUUAUUCUCACCAGCAAGUAAAAGGAAAAUGAACAAUCUUCUGGAAAUGUCUUUGAAAAUUAUCAAAGAGUAGGAAAUUCACAUUUGACCUAACAUUACUUGCCAAUAGAAGUAUGGCAUUUCCAAGCUUUUGUCUGAGAAGUAUCUCAGAGAUGUGAGAGUAAAUCUGAGAUAGUUUAAAAAUUGGUAGGGAAGGAAGAAAAUCUCUGCAAAUAAUGAUUUUAUGUUUGUUGGCCAAGUGAAAUGAUCUAUCAUUGUGUUUGGGAGGUUUUAUUUUCUUAUGUUUUUAAAAUUAAAUUGGUAAAUGCUUUAUAGAUGUAUUUUUAUCCAAGUGCCACUCCAAUUUGUGUAUGUAAUAAAAUUAUUUAUAUUAAAAGUGGGAAAUAAUUUGUCAACAUUUUUUUGAGUAUAGAUUUAUUAGGGGUGGCAAAGAAGAGUGCUAGUUAGCAGUUUUCCACGUAAAGUUGUCCUUGACUGAUUUGUCCACAUGUCAGUUGUAACUCCCCCACUCCCUACAAAAGGAAUUAUUUCUAACCCAGAUGUAUCACUUGAAACUUUUUAAAAGCAAAAUAAUCAGGGAAGUUCCUAGAAAAGUGUUUGGCUUUUUGGUUUUUCCUUGAGGAUUGGGGUAAAGACUUACCCCAAAACUGUCAGCACAAAACAGGGUAUUGAUUUUUAACUCUGAUGUUUCUGUUGGAGUUGAAUAAUAAAUAAAUAAUGAGGGAAAUACGUUUCUAAUAAAAUUCCCUACAUUCUAGAAACAUCCCUGUUUUAAUUUUUUUACCUAAAUCUUUUUGUGCUUUAUGUGUAAAGAAAAAAAUGUACUGAGUUACAAUGCAUUUUAUUAACACUAUGUACAUAAUAGCUGCUUUGUGUUCAGAAUGGUAGCAGUUGCUUUGUAUAUUAAAGUGAUCCUUGUGAAUUUGUGAAAUAUUGUCAUAAAGUGCUUUUUCUUACUGUAAUCUUUGUGGUAUCAACUGUCAUAAUGCUCUUUUUACACAAACAUUUAUGUGCAGUCACAUAAACAUGCUUUUAAAAACUC